rnacentral:rRNA from 1 species
GACGAACGCUGGCGGCGUGCUUAACACAUGCAAGUCGAACGGAAAGGCUCCAGCUUGCUGGAGUACUCGAGUGGCGAACGGGUGAGUAACACGUGGGUAAUCUGCCCUGCACUCUGGGAUAAGCCUGGGAAACUGGGUCUAAUACUGGAUAUGACCUUUCUCCUUAUGGGGUUUGGUGGAAAGUUUUUCGGUGUAGGAUGAGCCCGCGGCCUAUCAGCUUGUUGGUGGGGUGAUGGCCUACCAAGGCGACGACGGGUAGCCGGCCUGAGAGGGUGAUUGGCCACAUUGGGACUGAGAUACGGCCCAGACUCCUACGGGAGGCAGCAGUGGGGAAUAUUGCACAAUGGGCGGAAGCCUGAUGCAGCGACGCCGCGUGAGGGAUGACGGCCUUCGGGUUGUAAACCUCUUUCAGCAGGGACGAAGCGUAAGUGACGGUACCUGCAGAAGAAGCACCGGCUAACUAUGUG